AAUCUAGUGGACGGAACGCUUCUUUCAACAGCAGCAACAGUUAGUCAGCCACCUCGGUCGCUUGCUAGACAACAUAGCUGAACCAAUACAGCUCUUUAGACGCUUUAGUUGAUAUUAGCCACUGUGUUUUAAACCCACUUCUGUCGUCUAGUUAGUUAUCCGAUUAAAUUUCAUAUUUACCGUGUUGUCAUUCGUCAGCUAGCGGGCUGGUUAAGUUAGCAUUAGCCUAGCUAGCUAACAUCCUCGACCAUGAGGUCACUAAGCUACUCUCCUCCUGCUAAAGAAGAUGAGGUCUGCUGGAUGGAGAAAGAGGAGGAUAUCACAGUCAAACAAGAAGUGGAGGGUGAGGCUGUUACUGUGAAAGAAUCGGAAGAUACGUUCAGAGUGAAAGAGGAGGAGGAUGUUCCAGUAAAAGGAGAGCAGGAUGCAGUUUUUGGAGUGAAAGAGGGGGAGAUGACUGCCACACCCAAAAAGGAGGAGGAAGAAGAGGAGGAAACUGGAUACCUGGUCCCGGUUUCCCAAACGCAUCUUAAGGCAUUCAAUGGUUCCAAAGGUAACUUAACCGUAAGAUGGUUUUGAGAAACCGUUCACUGGCGGUAAGCAAAUUGGAAAGCAGAGGGUAGUGAGGUCUGCACAACGCAUCACCGGGGGCAAACUACCUGCCCUCCAGGACACCUACACCACCCGAUGUCACAGGAAGGCCAUAAAGAUCAUCAAGGACAACAACCACCCGAGCCACUGCCUGUUCACGCCGCUAUCACCCAGAAGGCGAGGGGCAGUCAAGACAUGGAUUAGCAAGGCCACAUAACAUAAGCAGAGCUGUGGGAGACCACCUCAAGCCCCUGGUAGAGCCGGGGGUGGUGUUUUUGGUAAUAUGUUAUCAAAACAAGCUUUAUUUAUACAGCACAGUUCAGACAUGGAUGCAAUGCAAUGGCUUCACAGGAAAAAAUGAAAAUAAACAAUUAUUUACCAAUCAAACAUAAGUGGAUAAAAAAAAAACAAGAUUAACAACUGAAAGACUGAGCAUUCUAUGGAAAUACCAUCAAUUAAAAUAGUAAGAAUUGGAUGCAAUCUUGAAGCUUGUUUUACUCCAUUGUUUGUGUUUCUCAGAAAGAAAACCAAAAAUGUCCUUUACAUAGAAGAGGGAUCUAACAAAGAGUCAUUGACAACAACCAAAACUACAGGUGUGGUUUUAGGAGGGGUUCUGAAAUACACUAUGGGGGUGUACACUGAAAGUUAACUAGUAACAACAACUGGGACAUAAAAGACACCCACCAAAUCUGCCCAAGAAGAGUCAAACAAAAGAAAAACCCACAACAAACUUAAAGACAGGAAGAAAACCAAAAAGGUGUUGACUCUCCACAUCUAUCAAGACAACUGGAGCACUGGGCCAGACACUCUUAAAUAGAACCUGGACCAGCUCAGGUGAAACACCUUCCCACUAACGAGAUGGACAAGCCAGCACAGGUGUAACACAUACUGACUAACGAGGUGACACCAAUCUGUGCGUCCUACGUGCUAAAAACCAAAGCCUGUAACACCUUCCCCCUUAGGACAACAAAUAUAUCCUAUAUUUUUCUAUUUCACAUUAUAAUCAACUAUGAACUGGCUGUCAAAAAUUAAAAACAUGAAGAACUCUCCUCUUCCUAAAACUCACUAGCUUCCAGAACUCUCCUCUUCCUAAAACUCACUAGCUUCUGUAACUCUCGUCCCCUUGGAACGAGCCCAAACAAAACUCAUCUCCAAUACAGAAAAACAUGCAGUCAAAAUUGUGAUCCAUGGCAACCCACUGGCUAAACGCAUAACACAAAUAUUUUUAACUGCCCACCCUUGAGACAAUCAGCAACCAAGUAGUCCUUACCACAGACAUGUCUGAUUUCAAGAGGAAACUCCUGCAAUAUCGGUAGUAACUUUCCACAUCACUGCAGAGCUUCUCUCUCUCUUUUUUUAGGAUUCACUGGAUAGACAUGUUGUUGGAUCUGGGCCCAGUCCCCAAUGUCAUGCUCUAGUACAUUUGGGUUGGUACAUCUGAGAAUGAACCCUGAUAUUCUAAAAGCAGGGCAACAAUGUCAAUAUAAUUGUACCCAAAAAUUGUCAGUUGGUUGCACAAAUAAUUACUAAAUGUUACAUGAACUGUAAAUAUUAAUUAUCAAAACCAAAUAUACACCCCUUUGUUAAUGUGUUGGCAAUAAUUAACUUAAUGGUGAGGCAUUGAUUAAUAAAACAUGUAUCUUUUGUCAGGCUGAAUGUUUGAAAUAUGAGUAGGUGAUUUGAGUCAUGCUUCUUCAGUAGUGGAAUUAAGACAAUUAGCACUUGAAUGUUGUCAAGAAAUACAUGAAUGAUGAAGGAUGGUUAAUAAAAUUGAUUAUAGACCAAUUUAUUAUACUGCAUCCAUGUGUAUUUAUUUAUUUAUUUUAACCUUCAUUUAACAGGAACCGAAAGGUUGCUGGAUUGAAUCCCGAGCUGACAAGGUAAAAAUCUGUCAUUCUGCACCUGAACAAGGCAGUUAACCCACUGUUCCCCGGUAGAUCAUCAUUGUAAAUAAGUCAGUUAAGAACAACUUCUGGCUUACAAUGACGGCCCAACGCUCUAACCACUAGGCUACCUGCAAGUAAAUUGAAAUUAUUUUCAAGUCACUGAAAAAACUACCAGAAAAUACAUAUUUUCAACCGAACGUAUAUUGGACGUCGGGCAUAGUCUUCUUUUCAACACUUUUUCAAUUACAUUUUGCUAGGUGGGAUAGCGCAAUGUCAAAACACAGUGUUAACGUGUCCAAAUCAAUAACCAAUAUGCAGAAACAGUUUGGGAUAAAUUGAAAA